CAAUAGCGUAUAUUAAAGUUGUUGCAGUUAAAAAGCUCGUAGUUGGAUUUGUGGCGUACGGUGUGUUCCGGGCACUUGUUGUCUGAGUAACCUGCUGUUGCCAUCCUUGGGUGGAACCUGUGUGGCAUUAGGUUGUCGUGCAGGGGAUGCCCAUCAUUUACAGUGAAAAAAUUAGAGUGUUCAAAGCAGGCUUAUGCCGUUGAAUAUAUUAGCAUGGAAUAAUGAGAUAGGACUUUUUUGCUAUUUUGUUGGUUUGCGCAAAGAGGUAAUGAUUAAUAGGGACAGUUGGGGGUAUUCGUAUUCCAUUGUCAGAGGUGAAAUUCUUGGAUUUUUGGAAGACGAACUACUGCGAAAGCAUUUACCAAGGAUGUUUUCAUUAA
rnacentral:rRNA from 1 species